UAAAAAUUUUUAUAAAUAAAACUAUGAUAGUUUAUUUUCAUUUCCAAUUUUACUUCAGAGCCACAUAUAUAUUUAAAGAGCUGCAUGUGGCUUGCGAGCUGCAGUUUGUCAACCCUCUGAGAUAGGUGAUCACAACUCUAUAGAAUGUAAUAUUUUAUAUACAAUAUGCAAUUAUGAACUUAAACACAGAAGCAGAAAGAGAAAAUUAAAGAAAAAUAGACAUGUAUUUUCUGUUUAAAUGAUAUAAGUGUGAUAUUUUUAAUGCAUAUUUCUGUAGUGUAUUUUGUAGAUCCUCUGUAUUACCACAUAUUCCUAUCACUACAUAGCAUAUCAACUUUUUUCAUUUCCAUCCUCCUCUUUAUAUGCAUAUACAGUAAACUCUCAUAUAACAUGUUCUCCUAUAACAUGAAUUUGUGUAACACGAUGAAAAAAUUCCAACUAGUAAUCGUAAGGUGGGUACAGAUUGGCCGAACCGCACCUGUAUUGUAACGGUACGAUACAGGUUUGCGCUCACUUAGGACAUAUAUUUUUAAUGCCGUGAAC
rnacentral:lncRNA from 1 species